rnacentral:rRNA from 1 species
AGCCCUAGCACAGGUGCUGCAUGGCCGUCGUCAGCUCGUGCCGUGAGGUGUUCGGGUUAAGUCCCCGCAACGAGCGCAACCCCCGCCGUUAGUUGCCAGCGGUUCGGCCGGGCACUCUAACGGGGACUGCCCGCGAAAGCGGGAGGAAGGAGGGGACGACGUCUGGUCAGCAUGGCCCUUACGGCCUGGGCGACACACGUGCUACAAUGCCCACUACAAAGCGAUGCCACCCGGCAACGGGGAGCUAAUCGCAAAAAGGUGGGCCCAGUUCGGAUUGGGGUCUGCAACCCGACCCCAUGAAGCCGGAAUCGCUAGUAAUCGCGGAUCAGCCAUGCCGCGGUGAAUACGUUCCCGGGCCUU